UAAACGGAGAGUUUGAUUCUGGCUCAGAACGAACGCUGGCGGCGUGGAUAAGACAUGCAAGUCGGACGGGGCCGGCCGGGGCGCAAGCCCGGGGCGGCCCGAGUGGCGCACGGGUGCGUAACACGUGACUUUUUUUUACCUGCCCCGCAGUGGGGGAUAGCCCGCCGAAAGGCGGAUUAAAACCCCAUGGGGCCCACGGGCCAAAGGCCCGGCCGCUAAAGCCGGGCCGCUGCGGGAGGGGGUCGCGGCCUAUCAGCUGGUUGGCGGGGUAACGGC
rnacentral:rRNA from 1 species